UUGCUCAAACAACGUCAGAAUUUCGCAAACAGAUAGUCGAUUCGAAGAGAAAUAAAAGACGGAUAGAAUAAGGGACUCACUCCCUACGGACUCACUCCGGUCGACGCGAAAUCGCGAAGGAAAACAUCAGAGAACCUUUCUCGAAAAAGUGGAAUUUCAUAAUAAUUAAUGUCUGUCUCAUACAGAUGGUCGGGGUCAAUUUAUAGAAUUUUCUACUAACAACUUGAAACAAACUAAUAACCAACUGAUAACCGGUCUUAUCUAAUACCAAUAUUCAAGCAAAUCUAAAAAUCUAAAACAUAAAAUAAUAUCUCAAUAACUAUAAUAUCUAAACCUAUCCUCAUGCAAAUUCGGCUCGACCUCAAGUCGCACUCAAUGUUUGAAUC
rnacentral:lncRNA from 1 species